rnacentral:rRNA from 1 species
CAGUCGCCGCGGUAAUACGAAGGGUGCAAGCGUUAAUCGGAAUUACUGGGCGUAAAGCGUGCGUAGGCGGUUUGUUAAGUCUGCUGUGAAAUCCCCGGGCUCAACCUGGGAAUGGCAGUGGAUACUGGCAAGCUAGAGUGUGUCAGAGGAUGGUGGAAUUCCCGGUGUAGCGGUGAAAUGCGUAGAGAUCGGGAGGAACAUCAGUGGCGAAGGCGGCCAUCUGGGACAACACUGACGCUGAGGCACGAAAGCGUGGGGAGCAAACAGGAUUAGAUACCCCCGUAGUCCCUGUCUCUUAUAC